rnacentral:tRNA from 1 species
GCGGGUGUAGCUCAGUUGGUUAGAGCGCAAGAUUGUGGCUCUUGAGGUCGUCGGUUCAAGACCGAUCACUCGCCCCA